GCCGUAAACGGUGGGCACUAGUUGUGGGGACCUUCCACGGUCUCUGCGACGCAGCUAACGCAUUAAGUGCCCCGCCUGGGGAGUACGAUCGCAAGAUUAAAACUCAAAGGAAUUGACGGGGCCCCGCACAAGCAGCGGAGCAUGCGGCUUAAUUCGACGCAACGCGAAGAACCUUACCAAGGCUUGACAUAUACAGGAAUAUGGCAGAGAUGUCAUAGCCGCAAGGUCUGUAUACAGGUGGUGCAUGGUUGUCGUCAGCUCGUGUCGUGAGAUGUUGGGUUAAGUCCCGCAACGAGCGCAACCCUCGUUCUGUGUUGCCAGCAUUUAGUUGGGGACUCACAGGAGACUGCCGGGGUUAACUCGGAGGAAGGUGGGGAUGACGUCAAAUCAUCAUGCCCCUUAUGUCUUGGGCUGCACGCAUGCUACAAUGGCUGGUACAAACGGCUGCAAUACCGCAAGGUGGAGCGAAUCCGAGAAAGCCAGUCUCAGUUCGGAUUGGGGUCUGCAACUCGACCCCAUGAAGUCGGAGUUGCUAGUAAUCGUAGAUCAGCAACGCUACGGUGAAUACGUUCCCGGGGCUUGUACACACCGCCCGUCACGUCACGAAAGUCGGUAACACC
rnacentral:rRNA from 1 species